rnacentral:rRNA from 1 species
UUGGGGCCCCCCUCUCUCUGAACACGGACCAAGGAGUCUAACAUGUGCGCGAGUCAUUGGGACCGCAAAACCUAAAGGCGUAAUGAAAGUGAAGGUCGAUCUUGCGUCGACUAAGGGAGGAUGGGUUGUGUCACGAUGCAGCCCCGCACUCCCGGGGCGUCUCGUACUCAUUGCGAGUUGAGGCGCACCCAGAGCGUACACGUUGGGACCCGAAAGAUGGUGAACUAUGCCUGGUCAGGACGAAGUCAGGGGAAACCCUGAUGGAGGUCCGUAGCGAUUCUGACGUGCAAAUCGAUCGUCGGAACUGGGUAUAGGGGCGAAAGACUAAUCGAACCAUCUAGUAGCUGGUUCCCUCCGAAGUUUCCCUCAGGAUAGCUGGCACUCGCGUGAGCGAGUCUCAUCUGGUAAAGCGAAUGAUUAGAGGCCUUGGGGCCGAAACGACCUCAACCUAUUCUCAAACUUUAAAUGGGUGAGAUCUCUGGCUUGCUUGAACAGUGAAGCCACGAGAUUUCGGAUCAGAGUGCCAAGUGGGCCAAUUUU